rnacentral:tRNA from 1 species
CCCUAUGUGGUACAAAUUGCUAACACACUUGGCUGCUAACCAAAAGGUGGAGGUUUGAGUCCACCCAGAGGUG